UCUACGGGAGGCAGCAGUGGGGAAUAUUGGGCAAUGGACGCAAGUCUGACCCAGCACCGCCGCGUGAAGGAAGAAGGCUUUCGGGUUGUAAACUUCUUUUAAGGGGGAAGAGGAGAAGACGGUACCCCUUGAAUAAGCCACGGCUAACUACGUGCCAGCAGCCGCGGUAAUACGUAGGUGGCAAGCGUUGUCCGGAAUAACUGGGCGUAAAGGGAGCGUCGGUGGUUGAUUAAGUUAAAUGUGAAAGCCCAGGGCUCAACUCUGGAACUGCAUUUAAUACUGGUCGGCUAGAGUACAGGAGGGGGAAACGGAAUUUCUAGUGUAGCGGUGAAAUGCGUAGAUAUUAGGAAGAACACCGGAGGCGAAGGCGGUUUACUGGACUGCAACUGACACUGAGGCUCGAAAGCGUGGGGAGCAAACAGGAUUAGAUACCCUAGUAGUC
rnacentral:rRNA from 1 species